UGGGGAAUAUUGCACAAUGGGCGCAAGCCUGAUGCAGCCAUGCCGCGUGUGUGAAGAAGGCCUUCGGGUUGUAAAGUACUUUCAGUCGGGAGGAAGGUGGUAAGGUUAAUAACCUUAUCAAUUGACGUUACCGACAGAAGAAGCACCGGCUAACUCCGUGCCAGCAGCCGCGGUAAUACGGAGGGUGCAAGCGUUAAUCGGAAUUACUGGGCGUAAAGCGCACGCAGGCGGUUGAUUGAGUCAGAUGUGAAAUCCCCGGGCUUAACCCGGGAAUUCCUCCUGUUACUGUUCAGCUAGGGUUUUUUAGAGGGGGUAGAAUUCCAUGUGUAGCGGUGAAAUGCGUAGAGAUGUGGAGGAAUACCGGUGGCGAAGGCGGCCCCCUGGACAAAGACUGACGCUCAGGUGCGAAAGCGUGGGGAGCAAACAGG
rnacentral:rRNA from 1 species